UACGUAGGGUGCGAGCGUUAAUCGGAAUUGCUGGGCGUAAAGCGUGCGCAGGCGGCUUCGCAAGUCAGGCGUGAAAUCCCCGGGCUUAACCUGGGAAUGGCGUCUGAAACUACGGAGCUGGAGUGUGGCAGAGGGAGGUAGAAUUCCACGUGUAGCGGUGAAAUGCGUAGAUAUGUGGAGGAAUACCGAUGGCGAAGGCAGCCUCCUGGGCCAACACUGACGCUCAUGCACGAAAGCGUGGGGAGCAAACAGG
rnacentral:rRNA from 1 species